CUUGGUCAUUUAGAGGAAGUAAAAGUCGUAACAAGGUUUCCGUAGGUGAACCUGCGGAAGGAUCAUUAUCGUAACAAAGACGUGGGAGGCGCUUGAAGGCUGUCGCCAACUCGAAAGGGUUGUGCACGCCGGGAGGGUGUCCUCUUGCGUGAAAUCCAUCUCACCCCUUUUGUGCACCAUCGCGUGGGCUUCCUCCUCGAGGCGGCUCGCGUUUUUUACACAAACCCCCUUUGUAAAUGUCUGUAGAAUGUCCUCAUUUUGUUUGCGUUGACACGCGAUCAAUACAACUUUCAACAACGGAUCUCUUGGCUCUCGCAUCGAUGAAGAACGCAGCGAAAUGCGAUACGUAAUGUGAAUUGCAGAAUUCAGUGAAUCAUCGAAUCUUUGAACGCACCUUGCGCCCCUUGGUAUUCCGAGGGGCACACCCGUUUGAGUGUCGUGAAAAUCUCAACCUCCUUGGUUUCUUUUGGAUGCCAAAGGAGGCUUGGACUUUGGAGGGCUUUGCUGGACUUGAAAGGUCAGCUCCUCUCAAAUGAAUUAGCGAGGUUCCCUUUGCCGAUCCUCGACGUGUGAUAAGACACUUCCACGUCUCGGUCUUUGGCUCUGUCGCCUCUUGGGACCUGCUUCCAAUCGUCUCUCGAUGAGACAACGUUCGAGCUUGCCUCGACCACGUACCCUUGACCUCAAAUCGGGUGAGACUACCCGCUGAACUUAAGCAUAUCAAUAAGCGGAGGA
rnacentral:rRNA from 1 species